GCAAAAGGAAGCAAAUCGGGAAAGCAGCAGAGAAAGCCAGGGCAAAUAUUGCUGGCGGGAUAGGAAGAGUAGACUGGAAUUACAGCAGGGGCCCGGGGUGGAGCCUGGAAGCGUGUCGGGGUCUCCAGACCCAGCAGACUCUUCCUCUGUGAGGCUGUGUCCCACGCAAGCUCCCGUCUUCCUUCCGUGUGAGACGCGCCCUACAUGGCUGCGCAGGGAACAUCGCCAGGCUUAACUAAAAGCCCCCUCACUUGAUUUUGCUUCAGAGUUCCUCCUCUGCCAACCAAAGGGUCAAAGGGCAGUUUCACACAAAGGCCCCUCAUGUACAAAACACAAAAGGUGACGGACACGGUGUGUGGACCUGAGGAUGGACGCCAGUGAAGGCUUCCUGUGAGGGACGAAGGGACAGACAUCUUACCCCCAUUGCUCUUCUCAGCAUGCACAGGGUGAACCCGUGGUUCUGGGUUCUGGUUUUUUUUUUUUUUAACAGAUCAGUUUGCCAGCAUUUAGAGUCAGCAAUGUAGCACAGAAGAAAUUAAACUGGAGCGGGGUCACACAACCGAAGCGCUUUAAUUAGCUGUGAGAUUUGCCAAGUAAUUUAAGCCUACGUCCCAGUUUUCUCAUCAAAAGUACAGGAUGAAAGGCAUCUGCUCUGUUCGCCUUAAAGAUCGCGGAUCAAGAUUAUAUGGGAAAAUGGACACAAGGGCUCUUGAAACUUCAUGUUUAAGAGCCACAGAGUUUCCUGAGGUGGGAAAUGUGAAGGUUUUAGCAGCCAAACUUGAUGUCCUCAACACGGCAGAAGGAACCUGAAAAAUCUGGACCCACUACAUCUCCUGAAGAAGAGUAAGUAUGAGAAUGGGGGCAGCCAAGAUGAGCCUAACAAGAGACAAAGUUGGGAUCUGGUGAUGUGCUAAGGCCCCUGCAUCCGGCCAUUCCUGAAGCCACCUGGGAUUUUUAGGUUCACAGACUAACGCCUUUUCUUUCUAAGUCCACGGAAACUGGCAUCUGCAAGAAAAAUAAAUACAAGAAUAUUUUCAAAGACUUACUUUGAUCAUUUCUCUGGGGGCACAGGAAGUUGGCGCUGGCUGGUUGAUCAGCACUCCCAGCUGCGUAAAUGUUACCUAGUUACAAUGUUGCCACAAAGUCCAGAGCCUGUGGAGAGGGUUGUGGCUCUAACAUCUCCAUUGAUAGAAGGCUCAGAGCUGCCUCUGGGUUGCUGCAAUGUGUUCAGCCUGCUCUGCAGUGUUAC
rnacentral:lncRNA from 1 species